rnacentral:rRNA from 1 species
UACGUAGGGUGCGAGCGUUAAUCGGAAUUACUGGGCGUAAAGCGUGCGCAGGCGGUUCGUUGUGUCGGCGGUGAAAGCCCCGGGCUCAACCUGGGAAUGGCCGUUGAAACUGGCGAACUGGAGUGUGGCAGAGGGGGGUGGAAUUCCGCGUGUAGCAGUGAAAUGCGUAGAGAUGCGGAGGAACACCGAUGGCGAAGGCAGUCCCCCUGGGCUGACACUGACGCUCAGGCACGAAAGCGUGGGGAGCAAACAGG